rnacentral:lncRNA from 1 species
UCGAUUAUCAAUUUCCUUCAUCUGACCUAUCUCUACAAUGGCGGAUGAAGUCACCAUUUCUUCAGCAUCUUCUGGUUCUACCACCAGAACUCCACCAACUAUGGAUCCCACUCAUGUUUAUUAUCUUCACUCUUCAAAUUCACCUGGAAUGGCCUUGGUUAGUACUCCAUUGAUGGAAAAGGUUAUCAAGGAUGGAAGAGAUCAGUGCUUAUAGCACUGUCAGCCAAGAACAAACUUGAUUUUAUCACUGGUGCUAAUGCUUCACCAGAUGCUCAAUCUCCAGAUCUGCGAUCUUGGAGCAGAUGCAAUAAAAUGGUAAUAUCUUGGCUCCUUAACUCUCUUUCCAAGGAUAUCACAGAUAGUGUUAUAUACUCUAGGAUUGCUAAAGAUUUAUGAAUGAGUCUAGAGGAUAGAUUUGGACAAUCUAGUGGAGACAAAUUAUUUCACCUGCAAAAGGAACUAAAUAGGUUAGUUCAAGGAAAUAAUGACAUUGCAGGAUAUUUCACUAAACUUAAGAGACUCUGGGAUGAGCUAGAAUCUCUCAAGUCUGAUAAGUGCACCUGUGUGUGUAACUGUGAAGGUGAAGUGAAGCAAGAAAGGUCUCUUGAAGAUGAGAAACUUAUACAAUUUUCGAUGGGUCUAAAUGAUCUGUAUGCUCAAGCAAGAGGAAACAUCUUAAUGAUGAAUCCGUUGCCCAACAUAAAUGUUGCUUACUCUCUGAUUCUGCAGGAUGAAAAUCAGAGAGAAACCUAUAUGAGUGGCUUGAUCCAAUUGAUUCUUUUUCUUUUAUGGUAAGCAAAGUGAAUCAAAACAAAUUUGGUAAGAAAGUCCAGAAACCCCUAUGUGCUUUGCCUAAUUUUGGAACUAGAUCAUUGAAUUAUCCAAGUAUGAACAAUCAUCAGCAAUUACCCAAAUACACAAGGACAACCCAGCCACAACAGAAAUUUAGGGUUAAGAAGAAGUAUAAUCCUAAUGUUUCCUGUGAUUUUUGUGGUAAGACCGGACAUGUUAAUGAUGAUUGCUUCAGGUUACAUGGUUUUCCUUAAGAUUUUCAGUUCACAAACAAUAGAGAUGGACAGGUUCAGAUCAGAGAAAAUGUUGUUUUGUCUGGAGAAAAAGGUGACAGUAAGCAUAAGAUUGACAUGGAUUUAAUCAAUCAACAUUUCACCAAAGAACAAUUCAAGCAUUUCAUUCAAAUGGCAAAACAGAAAUCAGCAGAGGGAUCAUCCAUGAACAAGGGAUCUGAGAUAAAUGCUAGCAGCUGCUGGUACUGUGCUUAAAUAUAUUGGAAUUAAUUUUGGAACAUGGAUAAUAGACUCAGGUGUUUCUAAGCAUAUGUGUUACAACUCUAAACUUUCUUUCCAUGACAACUCUUAAAGUUUCUAUUAACAUUAAGUUGCCUAGCUCUCAGUCCAUCCUUGUGACUCACAUAGGAAGUAUUCUAAUUCCUAAUAACCUCACAAUGCAUAAUGUUCUUUGUGUUCCAAUUUUCAGAUAUAAUUUGUUGCCAGUUCAUAGAUUUAAUGUCCAAUACAAUUAUACUCUUUCACUUUUAAUAGUUGUCUUGCAGGGCCCUUUAAUAAAGAGGCCUCAAGCUUUUGGUGAAGUGAAGGAAGGUCUAUACUUGAUUCAAAUUAUUCCUAAAGAUUCUAGUGGGAACCAAGAAAUUUACAAGGAUUCUAAAGUCUUUUCUAACUUUAACAGUACUGUUUCUGGUCCCAGUUCAGUUUCACAUUGUUUUCCAGUCUGUUUUAAUGUUAAUUCUAAUGUAAGGUUAUGACAUAUAAGACUUGGGCAUUUGCCUUAUGACAUAUAAGACUUGGGCAUUUGCCUUAUUCAUCAAUGAAAAAUGUUCAUUUCCUUAUAAUUCCGUCUAAUUAUGAUUGUCAUUGUGAAAUCUGUCCUUUAGCUAGGCAAACUAGAUUACCUUUUCCUAUCAGUCAAGUCACUUCUCAAUCUAUUUUGAUUUGGUUCAUAUAGACACUUGGUGUCCAUACAAGUCACAUACUUAUAACAAUUAUAGGUAUUUCUUGACUAUAGUAAAUGGCUACAGCAGAGGAGCCUAGACAUACCUGCUAGCAACUAAGAGCUAUGUAUUUUCUAUUAUUCAAUGUUCCUUGAAAAUGACUGAAAGAUAAUUUCACAUAAGGGUAAAGAUUAAUAAUGCAAUGGUGUUGGGUAGGAGUACAGAGGCAUCAAAUUUUUUAACUUCUCAAUGAAUCAUACAUCAGACAUCCUGUGUUACUACUCCACAACAAAAUGGGGUAGCUGAAAGGAAACACAGACAUUUUCCUGAAAUUUCUAGGGCUUUUAUGUUUCAAUCUAGAGUUCCUAUGAUUUAUUGGGGGAGAGUGUAUACUCACUGCCACAUUUCUAAUCAACAGGCUGCCUUCCAAGGUUCUUAAAGGUAAAACUCCUUGUGAAAUUCUAUUUGGUAAAGCAUCUUCUUAUCAAUUAUUAAGAUGUUUUAGUUGCUUAUCCGUUGCUAACACUUUAUCUCAUGGAAGGAGUAAAUUUGAUCCUAGAGCCACUAGGCGUGUCUUUUUAGGAUACCCAAGUGAUCAAAAAGGGUACAAACUUCUUGACAUAACUUCUAGGAAAUUUUUUGUGUCAAGAGAUGUUCAAUUUAUAGAACAUGUGUUUCCUUUUGCUUUUGACCAUUCACAUAUCCCUAUUCCUACUUUUCCUAUCCACACAGAAAAAGACCAUUAUUUCACUCCAGCAUCUCUUGUUUCUUCUAACCCCGUUAAACCAAAUUCCAACUUACCACCUUCUAACCUUUCUGAACCAACACUUGAGCAUUCUAAUUCUUCUUCUCCAACCGUUACACCAUCUUUUACUUCAUAACAAUAUGUUUCACAACCCUUAACUCCUCCUAGAAGAUCUCAAAGGAGAAACAUUGGUGAACUACCUUCACAUCUCAAAGACUAUAUUUGCAACACUAGUUAUCUUAGUGAUAUGACUGAAUCUUGUUUUGCUACCUACUAAACCCAUAUGUCUAUCAAUUUCUACUCUUUCCACAGCCAACCAAGCUAUACUACAUUCUAUUCCCUCCAUCAUUGAACCCAACAACUACUCUCAGGCAUGUACACAUCUAGGUUGGGUGAAUGCAAUGCAUGAUGAGAUUGAUGCUUUAAAACUCAAUCAGAAUUGGGACGUUGUUCAUUUUCCACAAGGUAGAAAGGCAUUGCCUUGUAAGUGGGUCUAUAAAGUGAAAUAACAUGCGGAUGGAUCUCUUGAAAGGCUAAAGACAUGCUUAGUAAUCAGAGGUGAUAUUCAGCAAGAGGGGAUUGAUUUCAAUGAUACUUUUUCCCCAGAGGUCAAAAUGACCACCAUCAGAUGUUUGCUGGCAAUUGCAACCAAAAAGAAAUGGGAAAUCUCACAAUUUGAUGUGAAUAAUGCCUUCUUGCAAGGAACUUUUCAAGAAGAGGUCUAUAUGAAAUUCCGUGCAGGAAUAGAACCUCCUCAACCUAAUAUGUUUUGUCGACUUAAAAAGUCACUCUAUGGUUUAAAGCAAGCCUCAAUGCAAUUGUAUGUCAGGCUUGCCGGAGCCCUAAACUUCAUAGGUUAUAUAGCCUCCCUCAGUGAUUAUUCCUUAUUCUUUAAAUAAUUAGGAGGUCUCUAUCGUAGCUCUCUAUGUCGAUGAUAUUUUGAUUACAGGGGAUGCUACUGAUGAGAUACAUAACCUUAAGGAUUUUUUUCAUUCUGAGUUUAAAAUUUAGGAUCUCGGCUCACUACAUUACUUUUUGGGAAUGGAAAUUCUACGGGAAGAAGAGGGAAUCAUAAUGAGUCAACGAAAAUAUACCUUAGAUUUAAUCAAUGAAUUCGAUGUUUCACACCUUCCUCCAACUUCUUCUCUGUUAGAUCCUUCAGUUAAGUUCUCUGCCUAUUCAGAAAAUCACAUGUCAGAUCCUACACUUUCCAGGCAUC